GACCUUCUAAACUUCUGUAAUUGCAACUUUUCAACAGAGGUGACUUCGUGCAACUUUUUUAAGUUUCUUUUUUCUCGCGGCUUAAAAACCUUUUUUCUCGAAACAAUCCGCAGUUUUUCGAGGACUUAGAUGCGAUUAUUUUCCCUUAUCUGCUUGCGAGGAAGCCACGCGUCGCGGAAGGCGACGGCGGACGGCCGGUCGCCACGAAGCGGAAAGCGACUGGAUCUGGUGGCUGGUGCCAAGGAAGAGCGGGGCAGCGAUGUCUACCGGCAGAAAUGAACACGCAUAAAAAUUGCACAGGCAAGAGAGAGGGAGACAGAAACCUCUUGCGAGGAGUUGUUUCCUUCCAGCAGAGGGCUCUUGUCAAAGUGGUCCAUGGAGUUCAUGACUUUGUUCUCUUGCAACCUGAAGAAACGAGGUUGAUGUCCUGAGAAAGCAAGAGGAGGAACGAAGAAGAUGGCAUGACAAAAAGGUGGAGCUGCAGGUUGGAUGUCUCACUCACAAUGAUGCUGCUUCACAGCACCCAAAAUUAGCAAUUAAAAAACAGUGGCCCCAACAACAGGCAAAUCGGGUGAGAUGCUCUUUCCAACUGCUUUUGAUCUCACAAUCGAGUAUACACAAAUAUGUUAAUAUGCUACAGACCACGAGACAUACAAAAUAUGAGGAAAAUAAGGACAGCAAAAGAAAAAACAGCAUCGAUUAUCAGACAUAUAGAGUACACUUGGUACACAACAGGUAUCAAUAACUCUGCAGCUCAGAUUUGGCAGGUGUGCCAAGUGCCAACUGACUCCUCCGGUUGGUUCUCAAAUCUCAACCUCCUACCCAAACCAAACCUUCCCCCGCAUCAAAGAGGAAGCGCAUACAAAUAUAAUCGGAGACGAACUGCAUGUGGUAAUUUGGCGGGUUACUCACUUGCGAGAGCGCAGCGCCUGAGCUUGAUUUGAGCGGAGAUCCCGAGACCGGAGAGCGCGACUGCAGGAAGAGGAAGCAGGGCGAGGAGGGAGAUGCACCACGCAGCCGCAGGGGACGGUGCACCACCUGGCAGCUAGGUGGACGCAGGCGCAGCGCCUGAGCUUGAUUUGAGUAGCAGACUUGGAGUGCAGACUUUAGAAAGGCCUCUCUCUGCCUGUGAAACCGGUGGAGCUGACAGUUAAAAGAAUGCAUGAUGCCGUGCGUUUUAUUUUCUUUCUUGUGUUUCAGUUUCUUUUCUACCGGCUUUUCCAACAUACUCCUCCGGUCCCAUAAUAAUUUUUAUCGAAAUCUUACAUAGA